GAUGAACGCUGGCGGCAUGCCUAAUACAUGCAAGUCGAACGAAACGGGGACGGGUGAGUAACACGUGGAUAACCUCCUAUAAGACUGGGGUCACUUCGGGACAACGGAGCUCAAUCAGGUACUUAUAGAUGGAUCCGCGCUGCAGUAGAUAGUUGGUAAGGUAACGGCUUACCAAGGCAACGAUGCAUAGCCGACCUGAGAGGAUGAUCGGCCACACUGGAACUGAGACACGGUCCAGACUCCUACGGGAGGCAGCAGUAGGGAAUCUUCCGCAAUGGGCGAAAGCCUGACGGAGCAACGCCGCGUGAGUGAUGAAGGUCUUCGGAUCGUAAAACUCUGUUAUUAGGGAAGCGGUACCUAAUCAGAAAGCCACGGCUAACUACGUGCCAGCAGCCGCGGUAAUUC
rnacentral:rRNA from 1 species